rnacentral:rRNA from 3 species
UGACUGCGUACCUUUUGUAUAAUGGGUCAGCGACUUAUAUUCUGUAGCAAGGUUAACCGAAUAGGGGAGCCGGAGGGAAACCGAGUCUUAAUUGGGCGUUAAGUUGCAGGGUAUAGACCCGAAACCCGGUGAUCUAGCCAUGGGCAGGUUGAAGGUUGGGUAACACUAACUGGAGGACCGAACCGACUAAUGUUGAAAAAUUAGCGGAUGACCUGUGGCUGGGGGUGAAAGGCCAAUCAAACCGGGAGAUAGCUGGUUCUCCCCGAAAGCUAUUUAGGUAGCGCCUCGUGAAUUCAUCUCCGGGGGUAGAGCACUGUUUCGGCUAGGGGGCCAUCCCGGCUUACCAACCCGAUGCAAACUGCGAAUACCGGAGAAUGUUAUCACGGGAGACACACGGCGGGUGCUAACGUCCGUCGUGAAGAGGGAAACAACCCAGACCGCCAGCUAAGGUCCCAAAGUCAUGGUUAAGUGGGAAACGAUGUGGGAAGGCCCAGACAGCCAGGAUGUUGGCUUAGAAGCAGCCAUCAUUUAAAGAAAGCGUAAUAGCUCACUGGUCGAGUCGGCCUGCGCGGAAGAUGUAACGGGGCUAAACCAUG